UACGAAGGGUGCAAGCGUUACUCGGAAUUACUGGGCGUAAAGCGUGCGUAGGUGGUUUGUUAAGUCCGUUGUGAAAGCCCUGGGCUCAACCUGGGAAUGGCAGUGGAUACUGGCGAGCUAGAGUGCGGUAGAGGGUAGUGGAAUUCCCGGUGUAGCAGUGAAAUGCGUAGAGAUCGGGAGGAACACCAGUGGCGAAGGCGGCUACCUGGACCAGCACUGACACUGAGGCACGAAAGCGUGGGGAGCAAACAGGG
rnacentral:rRNA from 1 species